GAGGACCGGAGAGCAGUGUUCUAGAGUGACAGAUGUAACCUGCUGAGGACAACGCAGUGAGAAAGAGGACAUGAAUCAAGGCCUUGGAUGACGGCACAUUUUGGCAACGUUCACACUGUAAAGUGUACUUCGAACACCUGUGAUGUGCCAGGCCUUCUGCAGAGCAUCCGUGAAGACUUGUACACUAUUCCUGCCUUCGUCCAGAGGAAUGUGAUCCGAGCACAGCCUGGUUCAUAUCUGCUGAACACAGAAGCUGUAGUGGACUGAGAGGCAGAUGGUCUUCGGUUUGAGUCACUUAGAGCCAUGACCUUGGACGAGUCACUUAACCUCUCCAGACCCCAGCUCCUCUUGUGAAAUAUGCAGAAAGUAACAGUUACCUCCCCACAAAAGUGAAGGAUUCAACAUCUGGCUCAGUUCCAAUAUAUUCCUGAGUUGCUGAGUCUCGUUCCCACAAAGAUCUGUCUUCUCUCUCUGGUUAAGAGAAAUGCAUGCUGGGCAUCCUGCCAAGCACUUGGG